CUUCACCGAACCGAGGUACAGCGGCACCGAGCGCCCCUGGCCGUACGUGGCCAGCAACGCCUGCGCCUC
rnacentral:antisense_RNA from 1 species